GGGGCCGACCGGUUUUGACAGGAUGUGUGAUUACGUGGGUAAGCAUGCAGGCUCAUGGGAUGAGAGCCUUGAAAGAUAGUUCCACAACACAAUUGGCGAAUCUAAUUACGCCAUGGCUGCCUAAUCUCGACUCAGAUGUUGAGAUCAUAAGGCUUUAAUCGGUCACCGCCAAAGCGGGACCGGGCCACGUUCCACAAAACCGAUGUUCUGCAGGUUUUGAUUUCGGAAUGUCGACUCAGCAGGACUAGUGCUGGCAGGGCUGUGAUGUCAGUGCGAAAUUGAUCGCAGCUAAGGUAAAGUUCGGUGGUUGUCUACCUCGCUUUACUCGAAAAUCCAAAGACAACUAAGCAUGUAGAAGACACGAUAGUUGCCUUCACUGGACGAGGGUUCGAAUCCCUCCGGCUCCACAU
rnacentral:tmRNA from 1 species